ensembl:lncRNA
GGCAUCCUUUACUGCCGCCUCCCGACUCAACUUCCUCGCUCAAUUAUACACUCUCACCACCGAUGCUCUUCUUUGUCCGUUUUCUAGCCAUUUCUGGUCUCUGCCGUCACUGCAAGCCUUCUCCACUGGACACCUCGCAGAAAGAAAUAACCCGUGCAUGGAAGUGACUGUACGAAAAUACGAUUCUCAUAGCUGAGCCAGCUGUCUUGCAGUCACAUGGACAGAAGCUGCAGCAUUAAAGCCGAAGAGCUGGAAACUCAGUCCCACCUAACACAAAAGCCACUUGACCGCUUCUUCCCGCUGUUGCUCACAGUAAGUGGCAGGGAGAGGCGUAAAGAGCC